UCUGGUGGCGAUGCGCUUUAGGGAAACACCCGUACACAUCCCGAACACGAUGGUUAAGCCUUUAGCGGCCGACAAUACUAUGCCGGAAACAGCAUGGGAACAUAGGUGGCUGCCAGAU
rfam:Roseburia sp. 831b contig000008, whole genome shotgun sequence.